rnacentral:rRNA from 1 species
AUUGAACGCUGGCGGCAGGCCUAACACAUGCAAGUCGAGCGGAUGAGUGGAGCUUGCUCCAUGAUUCAGCGGCGGACGGGUGAGUAAUGCCUAGGAAUCUGCCUGGUAGUGGGGGACAACGUUUCGAAAGGAACGCUAAUACCGCAUACGUCCUACGGGAGAAAGCAGGGGACCUUCGGGCCUUGCGCUAUCAGAUGAGCCUAGGUCGGAUUAGCUAGUAGGUGAGGUAAUGGCUCACCUAGGCGACGAUCCGUAACUGGUCUGAGAGGAUGAUCAGUCACACUGGAACUGAGACACGGUCCAGACUCCUACGGGAGGCAGCAGUGGGGAAUAUUGGACAAUGGGCGAAGCCUGAUCCAGC